CAUGUUGAUCUACCAGCCCAAAGUCAUUAUCGUCCAGCCCACUCAAUCUUAUAAAAUUAUGUAAAGCCAUACAAGCAACAAUAAUCUUCGUUUGCGUUCCGGGAGGAUAGCAAGGGAUUAGCAUCAAUAUGCGCCACUUCAUUUUCAGUACACCAAAUGCCCUUUCAAUGACAUUUCUAAGAGAUGAAUGGGCAUAAUUGAAAGUCUCCUUUUUACCUCGUGGUUCUGCGACGUUUUGGAAGUCUUGAAUAUGGUACAUGGUUCCC
rnacentral:lncRNA from 1 species